UACGUAGGGUGCGAGCGUUAAUCGGAAUUACUGGGCGUAAAGCGUGCGCAGGCGGUUAUGUAAGACAGAUGUGAAAUGCCCGGGCUUAACCUGGGAACUGCAUUUGUGACUGCAUGGCUAGAGUUUGGCAGAGGGGGGUAGAAUUCCACGUGUAGCAGUGAAAUGCGUAGAUAUGUGGAGGAAUACCGAUGGCGAAGGCAGCCCCCUGGGAUAACACUGACGCUCAUGCACGAAAGCGUGGGGAGCAACAGG
rnacentral:rRNA from 1 species